UCGACAUAAAAUUUUGAACGAAGGUCUAAAAGUUUAAAGUUCGAUAAUGAAUAAAGAUUGCGUCAGAGUGAAGGGGAAGUAAUUUGUGAAAGUUGUUUCCCUUGCAGCAUGAUCUAGUAUAAAUGUUUGAGUGUUGUAUUUUCAUAUAAAUGUAAAGAAAUAAUGUAUAUAUUAACUCGUUCAGUGUUUUACCUUGCGACAUGCACAUUCGUUGGGUAUUCGCUGUUUGCGAUGGUAACGCCAUCGGAUGAAGCGAUGAGAAAGAAGCUGGGAAUACCACCAUCUCAGAAGAUAAGUAACACAAACAAACAAUGUAUGGCGGUUUUGAAAAGAUCUGCAGGGAUUCCAGAUGAAAAGUGAUUAUGAUGUACAGUGUCAGCAUCAGCACUUCAAUGUACUGUACUGUUAACCUGAAUAAUAACAAAGACAUAAGAUCCUGUCUCUUAGUCUUGCACAUGUUUAUGGAUAUAUUGUAUAAUAUUAUAUCACAUUAUAUCAGUUCAUUUUUUUUUUUAGUAGAAAUGGAUUACAAUUUUAUUUUUAACCAUCUGAAAGGCACAAAGUUUAAAAAGAUACCAAAAUAUAUGUAGGACAUGCACAUGUGCAAGCGGUCUCUGCUCAUGUACUGGUAGAGUUUUGAUUACAAAAUAUUUGAUAUUCCAGAUAUCUUCUCUGAAUGGUAUUAUAUCUUGUGUAACAUCUUUAGAAUUGUUUACACUUGUUACUCUUAUAUUUUAGAAGAAAGCUUGUAUCUAUAAAAUGAGUUGUGAAGUGUAUACAUGUGACUGAAGUUCUGAAUAUGCUAUGUCCAAUAGUGUGGACAAUUGAAGUGAAAGUGGAAAUAAUUACCUAACAACUGUGUUUGAUGUGUGAAUAUCCCUUGUAAAUAUCCCUUGGACGUUUUCUUAUUCAGAAAUACAGUGUUGGACAUUUUGGAUGACAGAUAAAUAAAUCCAUUAAUCAUUAAACUGAUGAAUGGAACCAGAUAUCAAGUUUGAUAUUGUGGGUAUACGUAUGUGAUAAUAAAACAUUAAAAUAA